AUGAGAAUCACCCGGGGAUCUUGUUAAAAUGUGGGCUCUUUCAGAAGGAGAACCCGAGAGUCUACGUUUCUAACAAGUUCCCCGGUGAUGCCACA
rnacentral:pre_miRNA from 1 species